rnacentral:rRNA from 1 species
GACGAACGCUGGCGGCGUGCUUAACACAUGCAAGUCGAACGGAAAGACCCUGCUUUUGUGGGGUGCUCGAGUGGCGAACGGGUGAGUAACACGUGAGUAACCUGCCCUUGACUUUGGGAUAACUUCAGGAAACUGGGGCUAAUACCGGAUAGGAGCUCCUGCUGCAUGGUGGGGGUUGGAAAGUUUCGGCGGUUGGGGAUGGACUCGCGGCUUAUCAGCUUGUGGGUGGGGUAGUGGCUUACCAAGGCUUUGACGGGUAGCCGGCCUGAGAGGGUGACCGGCCACAUUGGGACUGAGAUACGGCCCAGACUCCUACGGGAGGCAGCAGUGGGGAAUAUUGCACAAUGGGCGGAAGCCUGAUGCAGCAACGCCGCGUGCGGGAUGACGGCCUUCGGGUUGUAAACCGCUUUCGCCUGUGACGAAGCGUGAGUGACGGUAAUGGGUAAAGAAGCACCGGCUAACUACGUG